rnacentral:rRNA from 1 species
UACGAAGGGGGCUAGCGUUGUUCGGAAUUACUGGGCGUAAAGCGCGCGCAGGCGGUUCUUCAAGUCAGAGUGAAAGCCCAGAGCUCAACUCUGGAAUGGCCUUUGAGACUAGAGAACUAGGGUACGGGAGAGGUGAGUGGAAUUCCGAGUGUAGAGGUGAAAUUCGUAGAUAUUCGGAAGAACACCAGUGGCGAAGGCGG